ACUCCUACGGGAGGCAGCAGUAGGGAAUCUUCCACAAUGGGCGCAAGCCUGAUGGAGCAACACCGCGUGAGUGAAGAAGGGUUUCGGCUCGUAAAGCUCUGUUGUUAAAGAAGAACACGUAUGAGAGUAACUGUUCAUACGUUGACGGUACCUUGCGAGAAAGCCACGGCUAACUACGUGCCAGCAGCCGCGGUAAUACGUAGGUGGCAAGCGUUGUCCGGAAUUAUUGGGCGUAAAGCGCGCGCAGGCGGCCUCUUAAGUCUGAUGUGAAAGCCCCGGCUCAACCGGGGGAGGGCCAUUGGAAACUGGGAGGCUUGAGUAUAGGAGAGAAGAGUGGAAUUCCACGUGUAGCGGUGAAAUGCGUAGAGAUGUGGAGGAACACCAGUGGCGAAGGCGACUCUUUGGCCUAUAACUGACGCUGAGGCGCGAAAGCGUGGGGAGCAAACAGGAUUAGAUACCCUGGUAGGAUAGCG
rnacentral:rRNA from 1 species